rnacentral:rRNA from 1 species
UACGAAGGGGGCUAGCGUUACUCGGAAUUACUGGGCGUAAAGGGCGCGUAGGCGGUGUGUCAAGUCAGGCGUGAAAGCCCCGGGCUCAACCUGGGAACCGCGCUUGAGACUGGCACGCUCGAGUUCGGGAGAGGAUGGUGGAAUCCCAGUGUAGAGGUGAAAUUCGUAGAUAUUGGGAAGAACACCGAUGGCGAAGGCAGCCAUCUGGACCGACACUGACGCUGAGGCGCGAAAGCGUGGGGAGCAAACAGG